ensembl:lncRNA
CGCAGGACCUGUCAUUCAGGGUGGCGUCACUUCCUGUUCUCUAGCGCCCGCCCCCGCUCCCCCCAACUCCUCUAGCUUCCGCACCACCCUCGCACCAAAAUGAUCUCAAGAUCACCAGGGAGCCUCCUUUCUUUUUUUCCCCAAGAACUUGACAUUUCCCCUCCCUCUGGUGCCCACAACUACGGAAGCAGCCUUGGCUGGCACAUGGCAUCUCUUCGGGACUCAAGAGUCACUACAGCUUCCAGGUAAGAUUUCAGGUCCUGAGGGUCCCUGCCUCCUGCAUUUUGGGAAGACAUUUUAAGUAACAAGAGAGCAACUAACAAACUACUUGCUGUCAGAUGGUAGUUGUUAUAUAUACAGACAGCCUGAAUCUCAGCUUGCCUUCACUUGUGAAGCCUGCCUCUGAGCCCCAGUCCCCAAUACAUACAGAUAUGUCAUCUGAUUGCCUUGUUACUUAAAUUUGUUAACUUUUGAGAGCAAUAUCAUGGAGACUCAGAAAAGGAAGAUUCUGGGAUUGUUAAACUUGCUAAAGGUUUUUACCAGUUCUCAAAUGAUUUCGGAAAUGAUCACAUUUGGAGACAUAUUACAUGCAA